UACGUAGGGUGCGAGCGUUUGUCCGGAAUUAUUGGGCGUAAAGGGCUCGUAGGCGGUUUGUCGCGUCGGGAGUGAAAUCCACUGGCUUAACUGGUGGCUUGCUUUCGAUACGGGCAGACUGGAGGUAUGCAGGGGAGAACGGAAUUCCUGGUGUAGCGGUGAAAUGCGCAGAUAUCAGGAGGAACACCGGUGGCGAAGGCGGCAUCCUGGACCGGCAUUGACGCUGAGGCGCGAAAGCCAGGGGAGCAAACGGG
rnacentral:rRNA from 1 species